rnacentral:rRNA from 1 species
AUUGAACGCUGGCGGCAGGCCUAACACAUGCAAGUCGAGCGAGCGGCGGACGGGUGAGUAAUGUCUGGGGAACUGCCCGAUAGAGGGGGAUAACUACUGGAAACGGUGGCUAAUACCGCAUACUAUCGGAUGAACCCAUAUGGGAUUUGCUAGUAGGUGGGGUAACGGCUCACCUAGGCGACGAUCUCUAGCUGGUCUGAGAGGAUGAUCAGCCACACUGGAACUGAGACACGGUCCAGACUCCUACGGGAGGCAGCAGUGGGGAAUAUUGCACAAUGGGAGCAAGCCGGAUGCAGCCAUGCCGCGUGUAUGAAGAAGGCCUUAGGGUUGUAAAGUACUUUCAGCGGGGAGGCGUUACCCGCAGAAGAAGCACCGGCUAACUCCGUGCCAGCAGCCGCGGUAAUUC